rnacentral:rRNA from 1 species
AGUGAACGCUGGCGGUAGGCCUAACACAUGCAAGUCGAACGGCAGCACAGUAAGAGCUUGCUCUUACGGGUGGCGAGUGGCGGACGGGUGAGGAAUACAUCGGAAUCUACUUUUUCGUGGGGGAUAACGUAGGGAAACUUACGCUAAUACCGCAUACGACCUACGGGUGAAAGCAGGGGAUCUUCGGACCUUGCGCGAUUGAAUGAGCCGAUGUCGGAUUAGUUAGUUGGCGGGGUAAAGGCCCACCAAGGCGACGAUCCGUAGCUGGUCUGAGAGGAUGAUCAGCCACACUGGAACUGAGACACGGUCCAGACUCCUACGGGAGGCAGCAGUGGGGAAUAUUGGACAAGGGGCGCAAGCCUGAUCCAGCCAUACCGCGUGGGUGAAGAAGGCCUGCGGGUUGUAAAGCCCUUUUGUUGGGAAAGAAAAGCAGCAGGUUAAUACCCCGCUGUUCUGACGGUACCCAAAGAAUAAGCACCGGCUAACUUCGU